GGGUAGAAACGAUGCCCCGACGAGUAGGCAGGCGUGGAGGUCCGUGACGAAGCCUUGGGAGUGAUCCCGGGUCGAACGGCCUCUAGUGCAGAUCUUGGUGGUAGUAGCAAAUACUCAAAUGAGAACU
rnacentral:ncRNA from 1 species